AAGACUGGAAGCAAGGCCAGUAAAAUGACUGAGUUACGAGUGUUUGCUUGAACUGCAUAGAAAAGGCACCAGAUCUGAGUAAAUCCACACUACAGAGUGAACGGGAGAGAAUACCAGAGCAUGGACCAGAUUUUGGCCACAGAAUCAUAUCGAGGAACGCUGAAGUAAUAUUGUACUUGAGGUAAUGCUGCUUUAAAAGUUAAAUAAAAAUAUGAGAUAUUACA
rnacentral:lncRNA from 1 species